rnacentral:rRNA from 1 species
UACGUAGGUGGCAAGCGUUGUCCGGAAUUACUGGGUGUAAAGGGCGUGUAGGCGGGUAUGCAAGUCAGAUGUGAAAUUCCUCUGCUCAACGGAGGCGCUGCAUCUGAAACUGUAUAUCUUGAGUGCUGGAGAGGAAAGCGGAAUUCCUAGUGUAGCGGUGAAAUGCGUAGAGAUUAGGAGGAACACCAGUGGCGAAGGCGGCUUUCUGGACAGUAACUGACGACGAGGCGCGAAAGAGUGGGGAGCAAACAGG